GCUGGCUUAAGCUCAUCACCACUCACACACGUUUGGGUAAAUACAGUUAAAUAUGGGUGGAAAGUUUGGAACUUUUUUUUAACAAAUCCAUUCUCCCCAUACUGACCCAGUAGUUAGUUCCCUGAUCAUACCUGAUGAAUGCACUUCUCCCCCAAAACUAAAAAUUAGAAAAUGAAACUAUCAAGACCUCAUAGUUUGUUUUGGUUAUAAUGAACUGUUUUCCUUCUGUCUUGUAGGUCUUCUUCUCCAAUUAAGAAGUGACCCGAAAUAUAAUGUGACCCCUCUUUAUAUGGGUGCAUCUGAUCACCCUCUUUCUUUCCUCCAUCAGACAAGCUGGCCUUCCCUAGAGGGUGGGCUGGCGUGAAAGGGUUAAAGGUUCUCUGGUCAAAAUGACCCAACAGAAGGAGCCCUGCCCAGAGCUGAAAUCUAAGUGCUAAUGACCGCUGCCCUUCACCCCGCUGCUGUCCACCGGCCGGACCUGAGGCCGGGUAGGGGCCGGGCCUAGGAGUGGGCACAAUGUUCUGCAUUUAACAUUUGAACUUCUCCUAUCCGAGGCAGCAGGCCGUUUUGUCCUGAGGUCGCUGACCCUGGCUCCCCCAUCAGCUGCCCUGAAACCUUAAUUGAAUGACAGAUGGUCAUCUUCGGGGGCGCCAGAAGCUGCGGGCUGCCAGCCGCGCAGGGGCUGCGGCCCCAGGCCCCAGCGGUCCUGCCCCGGCCCUGCCAACAAGGGGCGGGCAGCAGAGGCAGCAGGAGGCCCGCGGGAGCGGCGGGCUUGGUGGGUCUCGGCCAAAGGCGUGGCCCCGCGCCCCCUGAGGAAACAAGCGCCUAAGUGGUCGCACGGGCAAAUAGCCGGUUCCUAGCGCCCUAACCAGCCUCCCAGGCCGAGCGACCCAAACAGUGCAGGCCCUAUCUAGGCCUCGGGCCCCGGAAGGCAGCCGAGAAGGGACAAAACGUCUCGCCUCAGUGUCGAAGGCCCGUAUUCCAACAACCGCGGGCCCCAAGCGUCGAGGUCUGGAGCCCGUGCGGCCUAAGGCAAACAGGCCAGCGUCCAAGCCCAAGAUGCCCAUCCCCAGCUGGGAGCUGUUUAUUUAUGGCUGCAAAUGUGUGCGUGCGAGAGAGAGGGAGAAUUGAUCUUUGCCUGGACUUAAGAUGGAGCCGAAGGCGCUGGAGGGAAUUUGGGUUUGUGCGCCUAGCUCAGACCGGGGCGCUGAAGGGGGCCGUUUGGCACGAAGCCCGAGGUCGCUCUUUUCCGCACCCCUCACCUCGCGACCUUUCAGGAAUCUGAGGGGUCCUGAAGCGGCCUGGCUGACCCACCUCCCCGGGGCCGAGCUACCGAGAAAGGCUUCAUGGAGGGAGCCAUCCCGUCCCUGUCUUUAAAAUGAGCGCAAUAAAAGGGGGCAAAUCCUCAAACGUGAACCUGAUCACUUGUCACAGAAGCAACUUGCCAUGAAAUCCGCUAAUGCGCCGCGACUCGCCCACCCGGAUAGAUAACCCCGGCAGUGGUGUAACCAGCGCGCGCGCCCAAAGCCGUCUUGUCCCUCGAAUGCGCUCACCGCCGGCAACACUUGGAGAAUCCAGCCCACAGUGGUUUCGAAAACCCCAUUUUCCUGAUUGCAGCUCAGACUCUGGAACCCCGAGAGCCUCCCCAAAGAGGGAGCGUGAAUCGGGCCAAGUAGUGGGUCGGGGACACACAUGCACGCACGCACGCAUAUGCACACAGAGGCAGAGCAGUGCUUCAUAGGAUCUAAGAUCCAGAGUGGCUGGAAAGGGAUCUGGGAGGCCAAGGCUGAAGGAGCCAGCAAGGCCCUGGUGCUGCCCCUGCCAGAGUCGUGCAGCCACUGAAGCAGCCUGAUCCUGAUAGUUAUUUUGGGGGGAAAAACACCUGGAACCCAGGUUUGAGCUAAAGAAAGUAAGGGCAAGUGACAGAUGAUCAAGCAUUUCUUUGAAAUGAGGAAGAACGGAGAACUACCCAGCUGGCCUGGCGUUAGGGCAAACUGGACAUUAGGGAACUACUCUCCUUGCACACACAGCAGCACACAUCCUCCGAUGGCAAGUUCACCAUGCCCAGCAAGGGCCACUGCACCUCCUAACUGCUUUUUCGGCCUCCUCCAGGUUUUGCCAGGCAAAUGAAACAAGAACUCAAUAGUAAAUUAUUUUGUUCAGUCUUCUGUCUUUUUAUGAAAAUAAAAGGCAACACUUUGUCAUUUUUAAUCAUAUAAGCAGACAAUAAACCUAAUCUUGAUAUUGAUUUUUCCAGAA